GGGAAGUUGGCUCAGUGGUAGAGCACUUGCCUUGCAUGCCUGAGGCCCUGGGUUCAAAUCCUCAACACCACA
rfam:Dipodomys ordii contig_44507, whole genome shotgun sequence.